UGACACAAACAUGAUUAUUAAAUGUUUAGUGCAGCAUCUUAUUUCUCUCUUUGGGAUUUGUCUGUAUCACUUCAAUUCAAUUCAGUUUUAUUUGUAUGGUGCCAAAUCACAACGAAAGUUAUCUCAAGGCAUUUUACAGUGUUUAAGGUUUAAGUGUUACACUUCCUCCCUCUACCCCUGUCUGUUGGUUUUGUGUUGUUCUGUGUCUCACCCUCUUGCCACACCCAUACAUGGACUUCCCCUUCCUCCACUCUCCACACACCAGACUUAUUACUGACUCAUUUCACCUGUUACUCCCUCUGGUUUAUAAGCACCCCUCGGUCCUCAGUUGAAUUGCUGGUUUGUUGUUCAUUUUUGCUCAUUCAUGCUCAUGGAAUCAUCCACCACUCUGCUUCAACAACAUCCAAACCAACUCAGACUGUUCCAUCUUCUUCAACAUCAGUCCCAUCAACCUCCACAUUUUCAUCAGUUUUCAUUAAAACCACUGACCAGCGAACAGCUACAGGCUCCAUCCUGCCUCUGGUUGUGUGUGUCCCCUUGGUUGGUGUAUCACUGAUGGUUGUUCUGCUGCUCCUCUACAAAUGGAAGAAAAGGAGAAACUUAGAUGAAAUCACCAGGAGAAGCACAGAUGGAACAAAGACAGAGAUGUCUGUCACCUAUGAAAAGGCUCCACUCAACAGAGGUGAAGAACCAGAAAUUUGUUCCAACACUGAAUUAACAAGGGCAGAAAACUAAUGGUGAUGUGCAGAAUUGAAUCUAGACUUUAAGCUGCAGCUUACAGGUUCUUUUUUGUCACCUUAUCUUCUGAUGAUACAGAACUGUCCAUGUUUCUGAAGGUUCAGCAUCCUCUGAAGUGUCCAGUCCGUCUACUGUAUGUUUAACAACUAGUGGUGUAUCUAGAUGAUUUACUAUUGUCUGCCAGGAUUUUUUCAGCUUUAUUUAGUUAUUCUGGAUCAGUUUUUAUGUUUUGAUGUAUGUUGGGCCCUCGUGUUCUCUGCCUCUAAAUCGUCAGCUCUUCUCCAUCUCCACCUGACCAACACACUCACACCUGGUCUCACUCACCUUGAUUAGCUCUGCUCUCCUUUCAGCCAUUCACACCUGUCUUCGUUAGGUAAUUAGGUCAUUAGUGUUUAGUUCUGCUCACCUUCACUCUCUCUGGACCAGUUUGUCUUUUGUGUUUAGCUGAAGUCACUGUUUUCCAGUUGAAUCUCAUUACCUGAUUAAAACAUUUACAUGUUUUGGACUUGUUGUCACGUCCUCUUUUACGUUUGUCUGGAGUUUCUUUGUUUCUAAUGUUCAUGAAGUCAGACUAGAUUUGAAAGCGGCCUCCUGUAUUUUUCAGUGUGAAUCUGUCCAGUGUUCUCUUUUCUUCCUGCUGUGUUUUGCACUUGGGUUCCUGUUUUCUUCCUGGUCAUUUGGUUUCAUAUAUUCCAGUUGUUUUUCCAUUAUCCUCUCAGACUGAUGCAAUAAUGAGGUUUCAACCAGCAGAUGUCCCUGUUUUUUACUGUAUCAAAUUCUUAAAACCUGUUUUGUGGUCUACCUCAGUUCCUGGGUUCAGUCUUUACCUGUUAUUUAGUGCUGUUGUGUUGUCUUUAUUUUCUGUACUUACAGUUGGUUACUGUUAUGUUGAAAUCUGCUGUGGAUGUGGUUUUUGUCAGUGGCUGAUGGGUUGUCACAGCUUUUUAUAAGAUGUUGUGUGUCUGUUGGUUUAUGUGGUUAUCAGCUUGUAAAAUAAGUUCUAAUUCAUCUGCAGUCAAUACUUCUACUGUAGUGUUGAGAUGAAUAAAUACUGCUGACAUCAGAACUGCUUUGUUCUGG
rnacentral:lncRNA from 1 species